AGGAUAAACGCUGGCGGCGUGCAUGAGACAUGCAAGUCGAACGGACACUUGGGGCUUGCUCCAAGUGUUAGUGGCGGACGGCUGAGUAACGCGUAGGUGACCUGCCCCGAAGUGGGGAAUAACUGCCCGAAAGGGUGGCUAAUACCGCAUGUGGUGGUGUGUUCAUUCACACCAGUAAAGCCGCAAGGCGCUUCGGGAGGGGCCUGCGUCCGAUUAGCUCGUUGGUGGGGUAACGGCUCACCAAGGCGACGAUCGGUAGGUGGUCUGAGAGGACGAUCACCCAGACUGGGACUGAGACACGGCCCAGACUCCUACGGGAGGCAGCAGUCGGGAAUUUUGCGCAAUGGACGAAAGUCUGACGCAGCAACGCCGCGUGAGGGAUGAAGGCCUUCGGGUUGUAACCUCUUUAUCAGGGAAGAUAAUGACGGUACCUGAUGAAUAAGUCACGGCUAACUACGUGCCAGCAGCCGC
rnacentral:rRNA from 1 species